rnacentral:rRNA from 1 species
AUUGAACGCUGGCGGCAGGCUUAACACAUGCAAGUCGAACUAGUGUCGGACGGGUGAGUAAUGUUUGGGAAUCUGUCUUAUGGAGGGUGAUAACGACGGGCAACUGUCGCUAAUACCGCGUACCAUUGGAUGAGCCCCAGUGGGAUUGGGUAGUUUGUGGGGUAAUGGCCUACCAAGCCGACGAUCCCUAGCUGGUGUGAGAGGAUGACCAGCCAAAGCGGGACUGAUAAACGGCCAGGACGCCAACGGGAGGCAGCAGUGGGGAAUAGUGCGCAAUGGGGGCAACCUGACGCAGCCAUGCCGCGUGAAUGAAGAAGGCCUUCGGGUUGUAAAGUUCGUUCGGUGACGAGUCGUUAAUCACAGAAGAAGCACCGGCUAACUCCGUGCCAGCCGCCGCGGUAAUAC